rnacentral:snRNA from 1 species
GUGCUCGCUUCGGUAGCACUUAUACAAAAAUUGGAACGAUACGGAGAAGAUCAGCGUGGCCCCGCGCAAGGAUGACACACAAAUUCGUGUAGCGUUCCAUAUUUAA